rnacentral:rRNA from 1 species
UACAGAGGGGGCAAGCGUUGUUCGGAAUUACUGGGCGUAAAGGGCGCGUAGGCGGCCUUCUAAGUCGAACGUGAAAUCCCCGGGCUCAACCCGGGAACUGCGUCCGAGACUGGAAGGCUUGAAUCCGGGAGAGGGAUGUGGAAUUCCAGGUGUAGCGGUGAAAUGCGUAGAUAUCCGGAGGAAUACCAGUGGCGAAGGCGGCACGCUGGGCCAUAACUGACGCUAAGACGCGAAAGCAUGGGUAGCGAACGGG